rnacentral:ncRNA from 1 species
CCCAUUCGGAAUGUCGCUGGUUUCUGCUCGUUUUGAGCAGGUGAAAAGGGAAUGUGAAACGAGCCUGACGUCAAGGCCCAAAGCGCAGCCGCCCCCGCGACCGUGACCGGAGAGGUCCGCCACAGCCACUGGAGCACUCCGGGAAGGCCGGCGGCCCGUCAGGGCAUGUCCCUGAAAUCCGCAAGCCGGGAGACCUGCCAGCGGAAAUGACAUGAA